rnacentral:rRNA from 1 species
UACGUAGGGGGCUAGCGUUGUCCGGAAUCAUUGGGCGUAAAGAGCGCGUAGGCGGCCAGAUAAGUCCGGUGUGAAAGUCACAGGCUCAACCUGUGAAUGCCGCUGGAAACUGUCUGGCUAGAGUCCGGGAGGGGCGAGUGGAAUUCCCAGUGUAGCGGUGAAAUGCGUAGAUAUUGGGAGGAACACCAGUGGCGAAGGCGGCUCACUGGACCGGAACUGACGCUGAGGCGCGAAAGCGUGGGGAGCAAACGGG